rnacentral:lncRNA from 1 species
CCAUAUCGUCUAGCACUGGUAUUUAUGGAAUCAAGAAAAUUCUGAAAAUGGUUUUUAUCUGAGAUAUUCCAUUCUGACAGAUUAACAAACAAUGGUCCUGUGUGCAUGAGAUCUACCAACACUCAUGAGGGAGUAUCUCCCUCCUUCAAACAACUGCACCUGCAAGUCUGGAGAGGUUGGCAACUUCUGCCAAAUUGAAUAUGAUCACAUGAAUCUGAGUAUGAAUUAAAUCUGAGCAAUACAAACAAUCGCAUAUAAACAAGUAACUGAAUCAUAAUAUGAAACAUAGAACUUUCCAAUAUUCUGAGCUAUUUAAAUAAGCAUAUGUAUAUCUAAUUUCUUUCUUAAAUGAAUAGCUAACAGUCUGAACUCAAGGAAAUUAGGUGCUUACAUAUACCUUACAAUCAUACAAAGCUUAAAUUCUUCACUUGGGCCAAUAUAUUGAACUUUUUGUCAAUAUUCUCUUUUAGGCCCUCCCCAUUAGGUUGUAAAUCUUAAGGUGUGAAGGUUAUGGCUUGACACCUAUUAUGUAAAUCUUAAGGUGUGAAGGUUGGAUGAUAAGGGAUAUGUUAGUAUCAAUGAUGGUGGAAAAUGAAAAUUUAUUAAGGGUUUUUUGAUUGUGGCUCGUGGUGACAAGCUGUAACACUCAAAAAUUUUGAACUAAAAAAAAGGGGACCGCUUUU